GAUUAUUGAGGAGCAGCUUAGUUAAUUGGGGCUGUGGUGUGGCUGUGUUUUUUUAAUUUUCACGUGAGUCCCUUCUUUCUUAUUGCAGACAGACGGUGGUAAGCCACCUAGAUUCCAAUUUCUUUCUUAUUGCCAAGUGUUUAUACCCUGGAAUUUGCCAUGUUACUUUCUGUAUGCUUACGUGGCAAUCCAUGACAGUGAGAUGAAGAAGUGCACGUCGAUAAAAUUAUACAUAAAGGAAAAGAAACCGAUUUUAGAUGUUGGUGUGACGCGCCUACAUGGCAUGACACGUGGGACGUAUGACUAGAUUGAGCGGCACAAAGAAGUAUAGGGACUGAAACGGUCGUCAAGCCGUGUUGAGUGUUUGACGACGAGAACAGCUAUUCCGUCUAAUACUAACCUUUCUCGUUUUCAUUAAUGAAGCAAAUGAAGGUCUUGUCUGAUGUGCUGAUAGUUAUAUCUUUACGGGGAUUAAUAUGAAGGGUAGAUAUUCAACAUUAGUUUGGAUUAAUAAAUGAUAGGAACCGUGCCUGACAAUCUACAAUGAAAGAUAAUCUAGUAUGAAUGUUUUGUUCAGCACCCCCAAUUGUCCGAAGGCCACACUAUA
rnacentral:lncRNA from 1 species